rnacentral:rRNA from 1 species
UGAAAAGCCUCUAAGCUUCAGUUACAAAGAGACCGUACCGCAAACCGACACAGGUGGGCAGGAUGAGAAUUCUAAGGCGCUUGAGAGAACUCAGGAGAAGGAACUCGGCAAAUUAGCACCGUAACUUCGGGAGAAGGUGCGCCCUGGUAGCGUGAAAGCCCUCGCGGCUGGAGCGUGAAAGGGUUGCAGUGAAAUGGUGGCUGCGACCGUUUAAUAAAAACACAGCACUCUGCAAACACGAUAGUGGACGUAUAGGGUGUGACGCCUGCCCGGUGCCGGAAGGUUAAGUGAUGGGGUGCAAGCUCUUGAUCGAAGCCCCGGUAAACGGCGGCCGUAACAAUAACGGUCCUAAGGUAGCGAAAUUCCUUGUCGGGUAAGUUCCGACCUGCACGAAUGGCGUAACGAUGGCCACACUGUCUCCUCCUGAGACUCAGCGAAGUUGAAAUGUUUGUGAAGAUGCAAUCUCCCCGCGGCAAGACGGAAAGACCCCAUGAACCUUUACAGUAGCUUUGCAUUGGACUUUGAACCGGUCUGUGUAGGAUAGGUGGGAGGCUUUGAAGCUGGGACGCUAGUUCUGGUGGAGCCAACCUUGAAAUACCACCCUGGUUUGUUUGAGGUUCUAACCAUGGCCCGUGAAUCCGGGUCUGGGACCGUGCAUGGUAGGCAGUUUGACUGGGGCGGUCUCCUCCCAAAGUGUAACGGAGGAGUACGAAGGUACGCUAGGUACGGUCGGACAUCGUGCUAAUAGUGCAAUGGCAUAAGCGUGCUUGACUGCGAGACCCACAAGUCGAGCAGGUACGAAAGUAGGUCAUAGUGAUCCGGUGGUUCUGUAUGGAAGGGCCAUCGCUCAACGGAUAAAAGGUACUCUGGGGAUAACAGGCUGAUACCGCCCAAGAGUUCAUAUCGACGGCGGUGUUUGGCACCUCGAUGUCGGCUCAUCACAUCCUGGGGCUGUAGCCGGUCCCAAGGGUAUGGCUGUUCGCCAUUUAAAGUGGUACGUGAGCUGGGUUUAAAACGUCGUGAGACAGUUUGGUCCCUAUCUGCCGUGGGCGCUGGAAAUUUGAAGGGACCUGCUCCUAGUACGAGAGGACCGGAGUGGACGAACCUCUGGUGUACCGGUUAUGACGCCAGUCGUAUCGCCGGGUAGCUAAGUUCGGAAGAGAUAAACGCUGAAAGCAUCUAAGCGUGAAACUCGCCUUAAGAUAAGAUUUCCCUGGGGACUUGAUCCCCCUGAAGGGUCGUCGAAGACCACGACGUUGAUAGGCUGGGUGUGGAAGCGCAGCAAUGCGUUAAGCUAACCAGUACUAAUUGC